CAAGAAAUCUGUCCACAACGGGUGACUUUACGCCUACCGAUUUUGCUGGGCAUCAGACAUUAAAGAAUAGGGGGCCCUGAAGUUUUAUGAGAAUCUACUCAGAAAGUUCCGUGAGUAAAAAGAAGAUAUCAUAACGCACAGAAUUCGGGGGUGGGGGGAGGGGUUCCAAGAAGGAAGAGAUCAGUGAGGGACAAAAGUCAGAGGGCAGUUUCCAGGUGGAAAAACAGCAGCAGGCUCUGAAUUACACAGAAGGAUUUUGCAGGUGGAGAAGAGGAAGAAGGGACUAUCCGACUGAGACACACAGCAGAGGAGAGUGCACCAGGGAGGGAGGAAGUGGACGCUGGCAGCACAGUCAUCGGCCGACUGCGGCCCGGUCUGAGCGCAGGACUCUGGGGAACAACGCCAAGCGACAGCCCCAGAAAGCAGGCACAUUUAAUCAACAGGAAAUCUCCGCAUAAAACGGAUCUGAAAAUAGCAGAGUGGCUCGAAUGGAAACAAAAGAGGCUAAUGGCAGAGAAACCCAGACUGAAACUGGGAACGUGUGUCGGCAUGAUCACCAAGAGAAGGGGGAACAGUAGCAACACCUGCUAUUCUGAUCACUAACCUGCAUCUCAGUCAAUAUCCCUCCCUCGCCCGUUAAGGAUCGUAAGACCAAGAGCAAAAUCAAAGUGGAAGAAUUCAGGCAACAUAACGGGAUCCAGACAAAGCCGCAAAGUCCAGCUUUCAGCCAUACAGUGUCCUAACCCCGGCCCUGCUUAACAACCAGCAACUCACCCAUUCAUCAGCUUCUACCACUAGACUUUUUGCUCAAAUAAAAUACCAUCUUCCUUAUUUUCUACAUGCACA